rnacentral:rRNA from 1 species
UCUUAGGAGAAAUAAUAUUGUAAAUGCUAGGGUAUUAAAAGUUAUGUUCUUUAAAGCUAAAGGAUUUGGCGGUAGUUUAGUCCAGUUAGAGGAACCUGUUUUUGAAACGAUAAUCCACGAAGAAUCUUACCUGCUUUUGUUUUCAGUUCGUAUACCGUCAUUAUUAGAUAACUUUGAGAGAAUUGAGUUAUUUUAAUGCAGAUAUGUGCAAUAUAUUAGAUCAAGGUGUGGCUUAUAAGCAGAGUUAAAAUGGGUUACAAUAAGAGUUUACUUAUGUGGAUGAAAGAGUGUAAUUUCUUUUUGAAAACGGAUUUAAUUGUAAGUUUGAUUUAAUAUGUAGAAUUGGUAAAGGCUCUAAAUUAUGUACAUAUUGCCCGUCGCUUUCAUUCUUAAAGUGAAAUAAGUCGUAACAUAG